rnacentral:tRNA from 1 species
UCAUCGGGUUCAGUGGUAGAAUGCUCGCCUGCCAUGCGGGCGGCCCGGGUUCGAUUCCCGGCCGAUGUA